GGGGAAUUUUGCGCAAUGGGCGAAAGCCUGACGCAGCAACGCCGCGUGGAGGAUGAAGGUGCUCUGCAUUGUAAACUCCUGUCGGCCGGGAAGAAUCGGCGGGGUGCUAAUCAGCCCCGUCUUGACUGUACCGGCAAAGGAAGCCCCGGCUAACUCCGUGCCAGCAGCCGCGGUAAUACGGAGGGGGCAAGCGUUACUCGGAAUUAUUGGGCGUAAAGGGCGCGUAGGCGGUCUCGUGCGUCAGGGGUGAAAUCCCCGGGCUUAACCCGGGACGUGCCUUUGAUACGGCGAGACUUGAGUCCGGGAGAGGGGAGCAGAAUUCCCAGUGUAGCGGUGAAAUGCGUAGAUAUUGGGAGGAAUACCAGUGGCGAAGGCGGCUCCCUGGACCGGUACUGACGCUGAGGCGCGAAAGCGUGGGUAGCAAAC
rnacentral:rRNA from 1 species